rnacentral:rRNA from 1 species
GCUUACGGCCAUACCACCCUGAGCACGCCCGAUCUCGUCUGAUCUCAGAAGCUAAGCAGGGGCGGACCUGGUUAGUACUUGGAUGGGAGACUGCCUAGGAAUACCAGGUGCUGUAAGCU